AGAGUUUGAUCCUGGCUCAGGAUGAACGCUGGCGGCGUGCCUAAUACAUGCAAGUCGAGCGAAUGGAUUAAGAGCUUGCUCUUAUGAAGUUAGCGGCGGACGGGUGAGUAACACGUGGGCAACCUGCCCAUAAGACUGGGAUAACUCCGGGAAAACCGGGGCUAAUACCGGAUAACAUUUUGAACUGCAUGAUUCGAAAUUGAAAGGCGGCUUCGGCUGUCACUUAUGGAUGGACCCGCGUCGCAUUAGCUAGUUGGUGAGGUAACGGCUCACCAAGGCAACGAUGCGUAGCCGACCUGAGAGGGUGAUCGGCCACACCGGGACUGAGACACGGCCCAGACUCCUACGGGAGGCGAC
rnacentral:rRNA from 1 species